rnacentral:rRNA from 1 species
AUUGAACGCUGGCGGCAUGCCUUACACAUGCAAGUCGAACGGUAACAGGUCUUCGGAUGCUGACGAGUGGCGAACGGGUGAGUAAUACAUCGGAACGUGCCCGAUCGUGGGGGAUAACGCAGCGAAAGCUGUGCUAAUACCGCAUACGAUCUACGGAUGAAAGCGGGGGAUCGCAAGACCUCGCGCGGACGGAGGGGCCGAUGGCAGAUUAGGUAGUUGGUGGGAUAAAAGCUUACCAAGCCGACGAUCUGUAGCUGGUCUGAGAGGACGACCAGCCACACUGGGACUGAGACACGGCCCAGACUCCUACGGGAGGCAGCAGUGGGGAAUUUUGGACAAUGGGCGCAAGCCUGAUCCAGCCAUGCCGCGUGCAGGAUGAAGGCCUUCGGGUUGUAAACUGCUUUUGUACGGAACGAAAAAGCUCUCUCUAAUACAGGGGGUGAAUGACGGUACCGUAAGAAUAAGCACCGGCUAACUACGUGCCAGCCGCCGCAGUAAAAC